AUGAACGCUGGCGGCGUGCCUAAUACAUGCAAGUCGAGCGAACGGACGAGAAGCUUGCUUCUCUGAUGUUAGCGGCGGACGGGUGAGUAACACGUGGAUAACCUACCUAUAAGACUGGGAUAACUUCGGGAAACCGGAGCUAAUACCGGAUAAUAUUUUGAACCGCAUGGUUCAAAAGUGAAAGACGGUCUUGCUGUCACUUAUAGAUGGAUCUGCGCUGCAUUAGCUAGUUGGUAAGGUAACGGCUUACCAAGGCAACGAGGCAUAGCCGACCUGAGAGGGUGAUCGGCCACACUGGAACUGAGACACGGUCCAGACUCCUACGGGAGGCAGCAGUAGGGAAUCUUCCGCAAUGGGCGAAAGCCUGACGGAGCAACGCCGCGUGAGUGAUGAAGGUCUUCGGAUCGUAAAACUCUGUUAUUAGGGAAGAACAUAUGUGUAAGUAACUGUGCACAUCUUGACGGUACCUAAUCAGAAAGCCACGGCUAACUACGUG
rnacentral:rRNA from 1 species